AUCUUUAUAGUUUAUAAAUAAAAUAUUACAUUGAAAAUGUAAAGAAAUUUAAUUAAAGAUA
rnacentral:tRNA from 1 species